rnacentral:rRNA from 1 species
UCAGGAUGAACGCUGGCGGCGUGCCUAAUACAUGCAAGUCGAACGCACAGCGAAAGGUGCUUGCACUUUCAAGUGAGUGGCGAACGGGUGAGUAACACGUGGAUAACCUACCUCAAGGUUGGGGAUAACAUUUGGAAACAGAUGCUAAUACCGAAUAAAACUUAGUAUCGCAUGAUACCAGGUUAAAAGGCGCUACGGCGUCACCUAGAGAUGGAUCCGCGGUGCAUUAGUUAGUUGGUGGGGUAAAGGCUUACCAAGACAAUGAUGCAUAGCCGAGUUGAGAGACUGAUCGGCCACAUUGGGACUGAGACACGGCCCAAACUCCUACGGGAGGCUGCAGUAGGGAAUCUUCCACAAUGGGCGAAAGCCUGAUGGAGCAACGCCGCGUGUGUGAUGAAGGCUUUCGGGUCGUAAAGCACUGUUGUAUGGGAAGAACAGCUAGAGUAGGGAAUGACUUUAGUUUGACGGUACCAUACCAGAAAGGGACGGCUAAAUACGUG